AACAGUGUUGGUGCAACUGUGAAACUGCUGUUUGAUUGUUAAAAGGGCCUUUGACCUCAGUAUAAGAAACUGCGAGCUGUUAAUACCUAAGGUUAGAACAACAGAGACCCAGGUUUGCGGUACUUUUUCCAAAAAUGUCUAUCCCUGAAACACGAUGUUUACCAAAAGGUAUAUUUCAGAAGCUGGGAUCACUCACUGGCAGACAGACACAGCACACAGGAAUUGAAGCUCCAGCUCAUCGGAGGAAGAAACGAAAAAAAAAUUGUUCUCGUUUAAA